AAAAUGACUCUCGGCAACGGAUAUCUCGGCUCUUGCAUCGAUGAAGAACGUAGCGAAAUGCGAUACUUGGUGUGAAUUGCAGAAUCCCGUGAACCAUCGAGUCUUUGAACGCAAGUUGCGCCCGAAGCCAUUAGGCCGAGGGCACGCCUGCCUGGGUGUCACUAACCGUAUCC
rnacentral:rRNA from 1 species